GGCCCCAUGGUGUAAUGGUUAGCACUCUGGACUUUGAAUCCAGCAGUCCGAGUUCAAGUCUCGGUGGGACCU
rnacentral:tRNA from 2 species